CUACUACUUAAAAAACACGACGAAGUUCCGUCGUCAAUCGAUCUAAUGGUACGUCCUCUGUUUCGUCGCGCUCCUCUCCGCUUCGUCCCGCACACGCACGCGAAUGGGCCAAGCCCAACAAAUCGUUUCGCUCAUCCCCCGACCGAUUUUGUUCCUGCAGCACCGCGAUCCUCCUUCCCAUAGCCGUCUUCCUCUCCACGAACGAGCUUCCACAUCGGUGAGCACCUCCCGUCCUCCUCCCCUCCGGCUGGCCUCUCCUCAGUCUCAGGCACGGACUCUCCGACCCACCCAGAUACUUUUCGAUCUAGGCGGCAUCGACAUCAGCAAGCACAUCCACGUCCUCCUCCCCUCCGCCGGGCCUCUCCGCUGUUUCGGGCGCGGACUCGGGGCAGUCGAUUGAGACCGUAGGGGUCGUGCGGCUAAGAGCGAGCAGUGGAGCGCGAGCGGAGGUUCAUGGCGGCGCGCCAUGAAUACAGCGGUCGGGUCGAGGUAAAGGUUCCCGUGACUCUGUUUACGGAUGGGAAAUCUACGAUGGUCACCUCGUCGGGAAAAAGAAAUUGUGGGUUGCAUCAGGGACUUCUCCAGGAAAGUUUGGCCAUGGCCUCCAGCAGGGUUAGUGCUCCUCCUCUUCCUGAUCUACACAACCUGUAGUUUCUACCCGCACUAUCCAUUCUUGCCAUGUUUCUGUCCAUACGCGUAUACCUGCACUUUGCAUGCCUACAGGGAAAUCAUUGUUUUUUAGCUGAAUCAAGUAGCCAGAAUCUUACCGUGCUUCUGUAGCUGUGUAUUUUUCAACUACAGAUCAUUUACUCUUGUUGAUAAUUACAAGGAAUGUUUCCCUAAAUUUUGAUGUGAACAAUGACACUGUAAGCAUGUUGCUGCUGUAGCCAAUCACCAUAUAUUUCGAUUUAUCCGUUUGAUAUGUGCAUCUUAUCUUAGGUUUAGUGCUUUGCUUUGUUUGAAUAAUGAAUAAACUAAUUUUGUUGCAUUGAGGUUCUGGGAGUGGCGACCUUCGAUUUGUUAGAUAUUUAGUAAAUUUGUUUGUGUAACUUCUCCAAAUGAAAAAACCACCAUUUUUAAAAUUCUAUGUUAGAGUCUGCAGUAUGCAUGUCGUGAGAGUAUUGAUGGUUGCUAAAUUUCCACCUUGAUCAAUUGUUUUAAUCAGUGCUUGAUAAAGUGUUUUAAUCAUUGUUUGUUCAAUCAUAUAUUAGUAGGAGUAUCCCUGCUUGAUCAGUUGUAGUUUUAGUGUUUGUGACAGCUUGGGUUAGAACUUAUUUUUGGUAAAAUUGUUGUUUGCCACUGAGUUUAGUUUACUCGACAAAUUAUACAACAAAGUGCUUCAUAAAUUUUCCUUGGUAUGCUGCGCUUUUUUAGCAAUUACUUGAAUUUUAGUUGAGAGGCCAAAUAAACUAUCAUCAAUUGAAUUUUCAUUGUCAUGAUGUACUCAAACUGAAACACCUCUGGGAUAGGUGCUUUUUAGUACUGUCAUGCCCAUAUUUUACUAUCCUGAUAAGCACAUGAUGAAGUUUGUACUAUGUUUGGUGCCAAGAGUGUAGGCAUACUCUUUUCUGUACAUGUAGAUGGUACGUGAACUUAAUUUCUUUGCUGUUAAUAAAUGGAUCUUCCCAAUUGCUAUUUCUUGUCUUCCACACCACCCGCAAUUCCUCUAGAGACUGUCCACCUGACGUUUUUGUAGCUGCAACCACUCUACUCAGCACUUCACUUGCCCCAUACGCCCUUGGCAGAUCUCAAUGAGAUGGAUUCCACUACAAAUUCCCCUACCAUAAUUCUGAGAGUUUUCUUGUUACUUAUCAUUCAUGAAUUGAGUUAUGAACGUACUACUUACAUUUUCAGAAUGUCAGGUUCCGCGUCCCCUUUUUGCUCCAUGACCAACCCAGUCUUUCUUUGUUUUCAUACACAUGAUUUAUCACAAAAUUGGAUCUGCAGCUAGAACGACCUGCGAGACUGUAGGACUGCAGGAGGAAGCAAUACUCAUUUACAUCGUUCAAACAAGAUUCACCUGGUAAAUCACUCCUUGACCGUACUUCGAAAUAAUUUACAUUUUGCUGCUGGAGUGAUGGGUACAGUGCAAGUGUUAUGGCACAAGAGAUAGUUCUACAUGGGUAUGUGCAAAGUGUUUAACAUCAACUAUUGUGAACUUUCGAUAUAUUUCAAUGGCUGAAUGUGAUCUCUAUUUGGCAAUGUGUCAGUAUUAUUUGCAGUUUGUAUACUUGCUAAAGCUACUGAAAAACUGAGUUGUUGAACAAAUUACUUCAAGGACAAUAUGAAGCUAAUCCCUCAGAUUUUAGUCAGGGACAAUGUGAAGCUAAUCCCUAAGAUUUUAGUGAGAGCCAAAACACUGAAUCUGGUGAUGAGCCGCUGGAUCUUUUUGUUUAUGAGCUAUGCAUCUGCCGUGUUUGCCCCUGAGGCAGCGUUCACCUUGGAAGCAAGGACACGUCGUGUUUGGGUUUUGUCAGGCCACACAGCACAACAUUGCCAGCUGCUUGCCCGAGCAGAACCAAUCCCACUUUACCAAGAGAUAUGUCAGGUGUAUGAAAAUAUACUAAUAUAUAUACUACGAUGACGCAUUCCGUGGUUGACCGAUACGUCGAUGGCUUCGUCCACAGCACCCUCCCACGAUUCCCUGCAAAAGACGGAAAAAAGUGUGAGGAAUCAUCUCAUGUCGCUCACUUCUCACCCCUUCGACAACCUUUGGUCCAUGCAUGACGAGCCUAUUUUCAGAGCCAUGUUAUGGAGAGAGAUAAAAUGUUAUAUGCCAUUUAACGGUGGGCCGGUGGCAGCAAAAGCAAGGGCAUCCGCAUGCCUGACCUAUAGGAUCCAGCUCGCACAGGCAGUUCAUCACUUCAUCUACGCUGAGCUUUCAAUGUUUGCGCCAUCUUCAAUUUUCGAUGCCUUGUAUUUCUUGACUUCUUAUGUAUGAACAUCCAGAUCAGGUCAUCAGACAUCAGCCAUGUAUGCGUGGUUUGAAAAAAACAAUUCAUGGAAAGUAGUGCUCCAUGUAUGUGUGAUUUUAAAAUACAAUUGGUAGAUGUAUCUAUUUUUUAUAA